rnacentral:rRNA from 1 species
GGGGAAUCUUGCACAAUGGGGGCAACCCUGAUGCAGCGACGCCGCGUGAGCGAUGAAGCCCUUCGGGGCGUAAAGCUCUUUCGACCGGAACGAUAAUGACGGUACCGGGAGAAGAAGCUGCGGCUAACUACGUGCCAGCAGCCGCGGUAAUACGUAGGCAGCAAGCGUUGUUCGGAGUUACUGGGCGUAAAGAGUGCGUAGGCGGUUUUCUAAGUUCGGUGUGAAAUCUCCCGGCUUAACUGGGAGGGUGCGCCGAAGACUGGGAAGCUGGAGUGUGGGAAAGGCAGGCGGAAUUCCUGGUGUAGCGGUGAAAUGCGUAGAUAUCAGGAGGAACACCGGCGGUGUAGACGGCUUGCUAGACCAUAACUGACGCUGGGGCACGAAAGCGUGGGUAGCAAACA